GUUUCAUGGUCACUUCGAGAACACAUACACUGAAAUUGGAAUGACACAGGAUUGGCAGGGCCCCUGUGCAAGGAUAACACACAAAUUUGUGUUCCGUAUUUUU